rnacentral:lncRNA from 1 species
UUCAGGGAUUAUAAUGAAGCACAUAAGGUGAGGUUGAACGGGAAGUAUAUUGAGCUUCAAUUAACUCGGAGGUUUAUGGCAGAGGUGGUUACGUUGCCUAGUCCGCUUGUUAAGCGCAUUUUGGAGAAAAAUAUGGAGGAGAAGAUGCGUGUCGGUGAAAUUAAAGAAGGUGAUUCGGUUACUGUUGACCUUGGUUCUGAUGGGAAGAUAUUGGUUCUUGACAGUAGAAGCGGUACUCUGGCGGAAGAGGCUGAGGAAGGUAGCAGUGGUGCUCCGGCAGAAGAGGCUCCGGCAGAAGAGGCUGAGGAACCAGUUAUUGUCUAGAUGUGCGCCCCAUUGUCCUUUUUCCUGUGGUGUUUAUUUAUUAUUAUUUUUUUAUCGUUCUGGCUAUGUUGAGGUGACUGUGUAGAGCCAGUGCAACGAGAAUGAUUUAGAGUGCUCUUUAACUUCAGAAUCGUUCUGGCUGUGUUGAGCUGACCUCCCAGUUGUUAUAGUAGACUAAAACUUUCCUAUGUAAACAAUUUAUUUUUAAUAAAAGUUUAUUCGUUCGAGAAUUUGCAUUUGGUUAUUAGUCGCCUAUAAUUUGAAAAAUGAUUAUUCAAUAUAUUAAUUGCAAGAGUCCAAAUAUUGUAAUAGUAUUUGAGAUGUUGUGUUAAGUUAGGAUGUUGUACACGUAAGAUCAUUUUUAAAGUUCGUUUAGAAUAUUAAGUUUAUAAGCUUAAUUGGGAACUUAUAAACUUAAUAUUCUAAACGAACUUUAAUUGUGUGUGUGAGAGAGAGAGAGAGUGAGAGAGGCGGCGGAAAAAAGCUGAGCCGCCGUGCCAAAACCCUUAUUGGUUUUACCGCCAAAAGCCUCGUCAAUUUCGUUCUGUCCUUGAUUUUGUUUGGUUGAUUUACACCUUUGUGUUGAUUUAUUCCUGUAAAUCUAUCUUAAUUUUUUUUAAGUUUAUGAUAAUUAUAGAAAAAAAAAAUUAUUAUUAUUUUAAGAUAAAUAGUAUAUGAUUCUUCAAGAAUUAUUGUUCUUUUUAUGAAUAAACAUCAACCCAAAUCAUUUGUUGGUUCCGAUUAAUUCAUGAUUCGUAUUUUUAGAGAAAAUUUCACUUUUUUUAAACUUUAAAUUCUAAUUAUUAAUAGGUGUUUGAGACAUUACUAAGAAAAAUCUCAAAAUAAGUUUAAAUAAUUCCGCUUGAAAGCCAUACAACUAAUCGAGCUCGAGUCAGAGUUCAUCGAACUUUAAUUAUUAUUAUUUUUAGUUCAAAUAGGAUAGUUGCCCAAAAAGCUUAAACCUUUGUAUCAUAAGUGAUGAUGAUAGCAUUGAUAAUAAUGUAUAUUAAUCAAUAUAGAUUAUAUAACAUUGACUCGUCCUUAGUGAACUCAUCCAAUUUGGCAUAUCUCAUUAAAAAAAAUGAUUAAAUAAGAUUGUCAAGAAAAAGAAGACUAAAACUUUAAAAGUGGGUUAGAACUUUAAACAUUAAAUACUUUAGAUAGGAAUCAUUAUGUAGCCAUUUCAUCUCAAUAUACACUAACAAUUUUCAAAAGUAGGUGGUGUUUACUAUAAGCUUAUUUAAAAGCAGAAGUUAAUAAUUGUGAGUUAAGUGAGUAUUAAAUGUUUAUUUCAAAAAAUUGGGGACAUUUGCAAAUAUGUUAGAAAAUCAACUUAAAUAGAAAAAACAAGUCUAGAGAUGUUUUUAAAAAAAUAGUUUAAAGCAACUUAUUUUAGGAGAAACAUGAACAAAAGCUAGUUUUACAAACACCGAGAAACAGAUUAUGAGCAAAAAAAACCUCAAAAGCUGCUUCUAAAAAUUUUAGCAAACAAGUGAAUGAAACAAAUAUUUAGUACGUGAAGAAAUAAUUAAAGGGCUAAACCUAUUUAAGCCCAAUUAGUAAAUUGGGCUCAGUGUUCAAAUCCGGGUCCUUCAAACGACCCACUUUUAAAACGGACAUACAAUUCGGAUCGUACCAGAUUCCCAAUUUCACAAGGCCCAUCUUCUUCUUCUGCUUCACUAUUUUCCAAAGCGUGCCCCUUUCCAUUUCUCUCAUUUUUUUUCUCGCUCAAUCCUCCGCUGUUCAUCCACUCGCUCUCGUUCUUCUUCAUUUAUUUUCAACGCUCUUACUCAGGUAAAUCCUCUUUUCCUUACUCUUUAAUUCAUAUAUAUUCGUCGAUAACUGCCGAUUUCUCACAUCUAGGGUUCUUUUCUCGAUUGUCUGUUAGAUUUAAAUCUUUGUGGCGAAUCGAGUGUUAGUCUUGAUUUUUUUAUGAUUUAGAUUCUUCAUUUUUUGGUUUUUUUUUUUAAAUCUGUUUAUUGCGUGUGAUUUUAUGUUUAUUGAAGCUUGUGUUUAAUUUAGGGUUUAUGUUGGAAAAAUUUGGGUCUUUAGUGGGAGUUUUGCUAAAGAUCUAGACUUGAGAUCUAGACUUGAGAUGAUUAUAAAGAUCUAGACUUGCCGCCACAAUGAUACGAAUUAGAAGCUAUUGUUUUUCUGCGGUGCUGGUCAAUUGUAAUAGGAUUUGAGUUUCGCCGUGGUUUUGGCUUUCUGAUUGCUUCCUUUGUUGUUAGAGUUUGAAAUGAUAUCAAUUUCAUUCUAAUUUGAGAAAAUGCCUGCUGACUCCUUAAUUUCAGAUAUUUGAAAAAAAAAAUGUUUUCUUUUAAAACAGAAUUGGAUGCUUGUAAGAUUGUUUACAUUGUUGAACCCAGAAACAAAAUUAGUCUCUGCAGAUAGCAUUCUAAAAGCCUCUCAUUAUUUGAAAUAACAAGCAGAUCACCAGUGCUGUAUUUGUUGGUAUUCUGUGGAUGUUGAUGCAUUCAUUUUGGCUAUUUCAUAUCUAGAAAUGCUAUUGUAUGUUUUGGUUGUUUUCUAAUUUCUUUAACUUAUACGCAGACCACUCGGGUGCAGACAUGAUUGAUCGUUUUAUCGACAAUACGAUGUUCAGGGAUUAUAAUGAAGCAAAUAAGGUGAGGUUGAACGGGAAGUAUAUUGAGCUUCAAUUAACUCGGAGGUUUAUGGCAGAGGUGGUUAUGUUGCCUAGUCCGCUUGUUAAGCGCAUUUUGGAGAAAAAUAUGGAGGAGAAGAUGCGUGUCGGUGAAAUUAAAGAAGGUGAUUCGGUUACUGUUGACCUUGGUUCUGAUGGGAAGAUAUUGGUUCUUGACAGUAGAAGCGGUACUCUGGCGGAAGAGGCUGAGGAAGGUAGCAGUGGUGCUCCGGCAGAAGAGGGUGAGGAAGGUAGCAGUGGUGCUCCGGCAGAAGAGGCUCCGGCAGAAGAGGCUGAGGAACCAGUUAUUGUCUAGAUGUGCGCCCCAUUGUCCUUUUUCCUGUGGUGUUUAUUUAUUAUUAUUUUUUUAUCGUUCUGGCUAUGUUGAGGUGACUGUGUAGAGCCAGUGCAACGAGAAUGAUUUAGAGUGCUCUUUAACUUCAGAAUCGUUCUGGCUGUGUUGAGCUGACCUCCCAGUUGUUAUAGUAGACUAAAACUUUCCUAUGUAAACAAUUUAUUUUUAAUAAAAGUUUAUUCGUUCGAGAAUUUGCAUUUGGUUAUUAGUCGCCUAUAAUUUGAAAAAUGAUUAUUCAAUAUAUUAAUUGCAAGAGUCCAAAUAUUGUAAUAGUAUUUGAGAUGUUGUGUUAAGUUAGGAUGUUGUACACGUAAGAUCAUUUUUAAAGUUCGUUUAGAAUAUUAAGUUUAUAAGCUUAAUUGGGAACUUAUAAACUUAAUAUUCUAAACGAACUUUAAUUGUGUGUGUGAGAGAGAGAGAGAGUGAGAGAGGCGGCGGAAAAAAGCUGAGCCGCCGUGCCAAAACCCUUAUUGGUUUUACCGCCAAAAGCCUCGUCAAUUUCGUUCUGUCCUUGAUUUUGUUUGGUUGAUUUACACCUUUGUGUUGAUUUAUUCCUGUAAAUCUAUCUUAAUUUUUUUUAAGUUUAUGAUAAUUAUAGAAAAAAAAAAUUAUUAUUAUUUUAAGAUAAAUAGUAUAUGAUUCUUCAAGAAUUAUUGUUCUUUUUAUGAAUAAACAUCAACCCAAAUCAUUUGUUGGUUCCGAUUAAUUCAUGAUUCGUAUUUUUAGAGAAAAUUUCACUUUUUUUAAACUUUAAAUUCUAAUUAUUAAUAGGUGUUUGAGACAUUACUAAGAAAAAUCUCAAAAUAAGUUUAAAUAAUUCCGCUUGAAAGCCAUACAACUAAUCGAGCUCGAGUCAGAGUUCAUCGAACUUUAAUUAUUAUUAUUUUUAGUUCAAAUAGGAUAGUUGCCCAAAAAGCUUAAACCUUUGUAUCAUAAGUGAUGAUGAUAGCAUUGAUAAUAAUGUAUAUUAAUCAAUAUAGAUUAUAUAACAUUGACUCGUCCUUAGUGAACUCAUCCAAUUUGGCAUAUCUCAUUAAAAAAAAUGAUUAAAUAAGAAUGUCAAGAAAAAGAAGACUAAAACUUUAAAAGUGGGUUAGAACUUUAAACAUUAAAUACUUUAGAUAGGAAUCAUUAUGUAGCCAUUUCAUCUCAAUAUACACUAACAAUUUUCAAAAGUAGGUGGUGUUUACUAUAAGCUUAUUUAAAAGCAGAAGUUAAUAAUUGUGAGUUAAGUGAGUAUUAAAUGUUUAUUUCAAAAAAUUGGGGACAUUUGCAAAUAUGUUAGAAAAUCAACUUAAAUAGAAAAAACAAGUCUAGAGAUGUUUUUAAAAAAAUAGUUUAAAGCAACUUAUUUUAGGAGAAACAUGAACAAAAGCUAGUUUUACAAACACCGAGAAACAGAUUAUGAGCAAAAAAAACCUCAAAAGCUGCUUCUAAAAAUUUUAGCAAACAAGUGAAUGAAACAAAUAUUUAGUACGUGAAGAAAUAAUUAAAGGGCUAAACCUAUUUAAGCCCAAUUAGUAAAUUGGGCUCAGUGUUCAAAUCCGGGUCCUUCAAACGACCCACUUUUAAAACGGACAUAGAUAUUCGCCGAAGCACCACGAUUCUGAAACGCAACAAAGAUAAGGCAGAGAAAUCGUUUGAAACGUCUACAGAUGUCUAC